rnacentral:lncRNA from 1 species
GAAAAAUAAUUCACUGCAAUGGGAAUAAGGUUUGCUCAUUAUCUUCUUCCAGAUGUUUCCUGCUGCAAUAGUAAAAGUGAGAAUUUAAGACCUAUGGCCACAUAGUCUAAAAUAAAUAUCUGAACCUUUAAGGGAAAAUAUGCUGUUAAUCUCUGUGAUGAUAAAUUUUGAUUAUCAACUGAUUGGGAUGAAAAUGCCAACGAGAUUAGUGAGCUGUUCUUCUUGGUGUUUGUGUAAGGACGUUUCCCCAGGAUCAAAGUUCUGACCUGAUGAACUGCUUAACUCAAUGGAUUCAAAGAUUAAAAACAUAAAAUUAUUAUUAUUGUCAUUAUUAUUAUAAUGAUGGUGGUGGUGGUGAUGGUGGUGUAUGUGUGUGUGUGUGUGUGUGUGUGUGUGUGCACGCAUAUGUGUGGAUAUUCAUGCCACGGUGCACAUGCAGAGGUUAGAGGACAACUUGUGGGUGUCAGCUCUCUCUUUUUACCAUGUGGGUCCUGGGGAUGAAACUCAGGUUGUGAGGCUUGCAUGAAAAAUGCUUUUGUCUACUUAACCAUCACCCCUAGGCCUAGAUUCAAAUUUUGAAUAGACUAGUGGGAGGUGGCAGCUGUAGAAAGUGGGUCUUGGUUAUUGGAAGCAGGUCAGUAGGGGAGGGCAUGUCUUUGACAGUUGUAUUUUGUCCUGGCCCCUUCUUACCACGUUUCUGCUCUGCUUCUUGCCCCCCACGAUGUCAGCUGUUGCACCAGGGUCCCUUGUUGUCACAAUGGAGUCAUAGUCUGAAACCCAAGCAGAGUAAAUCUUUCUUCCUUUGAAAUUGUGUCAGGAAUCCUGUCACAGUGCUGAGAAAGCUAACACAGCGCUGCAUAGACACGACUUUCCUGUAGAUACUUUCUUGGUCAUGUGAAUAUGCUUGGUCUGUCUUGCCCAACAUGGAAGUCACUACCUACAAGUGACUUUUGAAAUGAGGCUAUUGUUAUUGAGGAAUGACCUUUGAAUUCUAUUCAACUAACUUCCCUUAAAUCUGGAGAGUUCUCUGGGUGUGUGGCUACCACCUUGGAUGAUCCUGAGAGGAUGGGUGGAUGACUGUGAGGAGGCUGAUAGAGUCUCCAGGAGCUGUGCUCUGAGAACAAAGAUACCUCCCUUCUCCCCUCAUCCCAUAACUGGGAAAUUGAAGCUUAAAGAGAUUAAUAGUAUGCCCAAGGUGACAUAGCUACAUAGCUAGUAAGGGGCAAAGCCACAGUUCUGGUCAGUUGACUUCUGGGCAUGCACCUAGCACGUGGGAAGCUUCAGGUUCAGUUCUUAGCAUUGC